UGCUCUCACACCUUCCGCAGCAAGGCAAGGACCUGCUGCAGCCACCAAAAGGCUCUGCCUCGCCUCCUGCCCUGGGCAAACAUCCCCCAGCACUACUGGCACUCAGACCCACAAAGAGGAGCGUGGCAAGGAAUAAAUUCCUGCCACGUAAUUCCUCCAGCACAAGGAACUAAUGCAGGCCACGGAUCUGCCACUCUGCCUCUCGUGCUGCAGAAGGGAGCAGAGAGCUGUGUUUUAACAUUAGCUCCCGAGUAUAAUUUCCUGUAAUUGUAAAGUGCUUUAGAGGCACUUGUGAACUUGGGCGGAUGGCUCCUAACGAAGUUAAUGAAUAACCCAGGACUGACUCGGCUCCUAAACAGACCCAGCACUGAAGGAGGGAAUGUGGAGAAAGGUUUUGCCUUCCAUUAGCAACACUAUCCAAACAACUGACCCUCUCCCUGAGAGAUUAGUUCUCAGCAGGUAUCAAUCACACUUCUCUCCUCCACAAAUCUGAAUAACCAACACAAUCCAAUUACACUCAGAGAGAUUGUUCUCAGCUAAGACUCAGUUGGAAGAUGGCCUGACAACAGGUAUCACCUCUGCCUGCACAAAAGGCUUUGCUCUCCAAUCCUGUUAACUGCAGCAGGGGGGUGUUCGCCAGGGAUGGUGCCAGCCUCUGGCCCCAGAAGCUUCUGCACAGCUUGUGAUCCUCUGGGGCUCCUGCUCACCAGGCUGGAGUCAAAGAGACAUCUCGUGGCCACAGCUUAUACUGCAAAGGAGUUAUUUUGUGCAUGGAACAUCCUUUGCAUGCAGGGGGCCAAGAGCUGCCUGUGAUGAGCUAUGACUGCAUUGGGCCAAGCAGCAGGGGAUGCCAAAAUACCCUGCACCUGAUUCAGCCUCCAGCCUUUCUCUCUGAGUGCCUUCAGAGCACGAGGAAAUGUGAAAUGCAGGCAUAUUCUGUCUCUCUGCUUUUUGUUCAGACUUGUAAGUACAUAAAAAAGAAACAGCUUGGCAGGGGAUGGCAGAGAGCUACAACUGAGUCACUGGGAGAAACCAGAGAGGGAGCAGCUGCUCACUGUCUUCCAGCACAGGACUCAGAGCCACCAGGUGAAGGGUUUGAUAGCCAUGCUGAAGCAGGAAGAGGAGGAAGAGAUUCCUCCUGGGCAGUAGAGGAUCCAAGGGGGGAUCCUUGCUGGAGGAGGCUGGGAAUGCUUAAAGUCCACCAAGGUUAAAGGAAAAAUUUCACAAACAUCAAGAAAACAGAGCUCCACUGGAGAACAACUAGCAAAAAAAGGUGCAGCAGUGCUGGAAAUUCCCUGUGCUGCAGUUCUGGGAAAGCACUCAGGAAUACAAUGUCCUUUCUCCAAGGCAUCAGCCCAUGGCUACCACAGGAGUCCUACACACAGUGCAGGGCAGGCCCAGCUGUGACCCAGCUCUGUGGGUUUUACACUCACAGCUACAGCUCCAGAGAAAACUGGGAGCAUCCUAGGAGCCAGUGGCAGUUUGAUCCUGACUGCCUGUUUUGGGAGCUCUGUGGAAGGUGAGCAGUGAGAGCACAUUAGCAGUGGGAGCCUCAGCUCUCAGUUUAAUGUGGGUAAGGUCAGGGUCAGCAUCGGGGUUUUGGGUGAACUGGGAGAAGAGUUUCUCAAGGGAAACACUCCUGGUACUGCACCAUCCCCAAAACCCCAAAAACAUUGUUUAGACUUGACUUGCUAUGGAGCAUCCCCUCCUGCUCCCUUUCCUGCCUGGAUCUCAUCCUGAGGUCCCCCAUCUCUGGGCAGGGGAGGACAGGAGGCUGAGGUCUGGGAGUACCUCCUGUAUUCCUUGACAUCCCCUUCUGUGUGAGGUGAAAUAACCCAAUGCACAUUCACUUUCCAGGGUUGGAAGACCUGACCUACCACCCAGAGCCUCUGGAUUUUUACAAAGAUUUGUUCUUUGACCUUGUCCAAGCUGCUCAUUCUUUCCUUUAAGGAGUGACAAGGAGAAACAGGCAUGAAUGCUGCAUGAGUGGUGUCCCAGAAUUUGAGAAAUAACCAGCUCAGACCCACAGCUAGCUAGGAAAGGGCUUUAAACUAGUCUUUGUUGGCUCCUGCUAAAUGCUUCCUCCAUGAUUAACACCAGAGGUGAUGUUGAUAGCAGGAUUCAUUGUCAAAAUAGCUUAUAAAACAAUUCCAUAAAACCGUGUAAAUCUUGUGUUGAUCUUACUUUUUACAAGGAGUCUUAAAGCCAUAUAUCCCAGCACCAUUUACAAGGUUGUUGCAGGUGUGGGACCAGCCUUAGAAAUAUAGCUACUACUUAAACUGUGUAUUUUACGAGCCUGGGGAAACAUCCGUUUGAACUGUAAAAGGAGCUUUCCAGCCCUCCUGCUUCUUUGUGCAGAGACCAAACCAUUGCCCAUCAGACUUCAGCACCCCCUGAGCCCAGCACAAGGUGCAGGGACAGGAUUCCUUUGUCAACAAACCUUAGCAAGGUUUUCCAGGAUGUUGACCUUUGCCUUCAGGAGCAGCUGGUCUCCCCAAGCCCAAGGUCACUGCAAACCUAAAACCCUAAAAAACCAAAACCCUAAAGCCACUUGUCAUUUGUCUUGCUGUGGGCUGCAGUCAUUCCUCUGGUGAAGCUCACAGGCUAUUUACUGCUGCUCUGCAGCACAAAGAAGCAGGUGGAAAGGGGAAGAAUGAACAGCCCAAUCAUGUGAAUCAGAUGACAGAAGGCAUUUAAGUAGGCAAUAUAUACCAUAAUUAUGUAAUUACUAUUUAAUAGACAUCAGGAUGAGUCUCCUGGGGAUAAAGGAAAAGCCAAGACAUUUCUCCCUGUGAGUUAAAAAUUACCAGGAUUUUAAUCCCAUAUUAAGACUCAAGAUUGCAUCCCCUCCUCUACAUCCUUUGAGCUCUCCUUUCAGCUACCAGUGAAACAUUUCUGAGAUUGCUCAGACUACUGCCCUCAUCCCACAGUGACCAUGGAAUACAGGACUGAUUAGGUCCCAAACUGUCUCUGCUCUUCAGGGUACAUGGGCAACCAGCUGCCACACUGUACCCAAAGAGCUCUGUGCUGUGCAGCUGGAUACUUGGGGUUCAAAUUUAUAACCCUGGGAGGAAAAGGGUUGCACUGGGUUUGCAGUUCAAGGGCUCAGGGUUUUAGCAAGGAUUUGUACUCUGACCUUGGCCAAGCUGCUUGUUCCUUCCUCUAAGGGCUGACAAAGCUCCUCCAUCUACACACAGCAGAGAGAAACAUCAGAGAGCUGCAAUGCAGUGCCACCAUUGCCACGUGGGGCUGUGCAAAAUCCUCUCCCCGCUGCCCUCACCUUCAUCCUCCUCAUCAGAUGCCUGGCCUCACCUUCCCAGCAGAUGUGUCUCAGUGCCCCCUUAUCUCCAUCUCAUAUCUUCUGUGUGAGACCAAAUAUUGACACUGUUCAGGAAUGGCCCUUGGCUGUGAGCACAUCUCCUAACCUUCAAGAUGGCCCUUGACCUCUCCCCCGAGCCCUGAAACAAUAGAAUAAAUGCAGGAAAGAGUCACAGUGAUAAAAGCUGGUUUACAGCAGCUGGAGGGAUAAGCCCAGCUCACUCUGUCUGCUUUGCAACAGCUCAUUUUGGGGACCCUCAGUGACACUGAGUGACAGGCCUUUGGAUCGUGUUGUAGCAUCAUCCUCUGCUGAAAUGAGCUUUUCUCUAACCCCUGCCAAACCUCCAAUUCAUGAUGUCCCUUGGAUUAAAUACAAAAUACAGAAAAUCCUUCCCUCUUUUUCUAAAAGAGUGUCCAAAUCCUGAACAGAUUUGAGUGUACAGUAUCCCUAACAAUGUGCAGUGGCUGUGUCACGGGAUGGCUGAAUAAACACCACAGUGGAGGGGCCAGGAUCAUCCCUGGGUUAUGAGCUUGUACAACACUUGACACACUGAAUCUCCUUCCUAAUCAGGGGUUGUUAAGAUGCUGUUUUAAUAAGAUAACAUGACAUAAAAUGCUUUAUAUAUUUAAUCUACUAAUUAGUCAUGAUAAUAACAAGUAACUUUAUAGUUGAAUGCAUGAAACCUCAUUAUCUGAAUCCAAUUUUUAUGUGGCUUCACUUGGACUAUAUCAAGUGCUGGGCUCAUUUAACAACCUUCCCUUCAGCCAGAGCAGUGAUCUGGGAUUCUUCCCUGUUCCUUGGUUAUUUAUUUCCACAAAGCACUAAGGGUUCUAAUAGGAGUCUACUCCACACACACACCUGGCUGAAACCUCCCUGUUUUGAGUGAUUAGGCAGGGACUGAUAGACCAAUGUGGGCAGAGCAAUCACACAACUCCUCAUUUCCUUUGGAAGCCAGGCUAAAAAUAGGGGACAGACAGUAGAAAACGAGACAGGAAGGCAGGAAUGGAUCUAUCAAUAGCUCCUGCACUGCUUCCUGCUUGCUAGUGUCUCUCAGCAGAUGUCAGGUAACCUUUAGAAACCCCCUAAAGCAGCAGUCAUUUAUCAGACAUUUCUUAAAUUGAGAUAAAGGGAAUUUGGACCCUGUAAAAUUAUAGGCAUCCCAGAAGGAAAAAAAAA